rnacentral:pre_miRNA from 1 species
CUAGAUUGGUUUCGUUAUAACAAAGAAGUUGGUCUGACGCAAUGUGUGUCGGAUCAGCUUGUCCCUAUUGAAGCCAGUCUGGCACACAUUGUGUCAGACCGGCUUCAUUAUAAGUAAUGAAGCCGGUCUGGCACAAUGUGUGCUGGACCGGUUUCAAUAGGGACAAGCUGGUUUGGUAUAUAUUGUGUUGGGCCAGUUUCAUUAACGGCUUCAAUAGGG